ncrna:unclassified sequences raiA RNA
UUCAUUCGGGUCUGUGGUUGAAAGUCGAUGCCAGUCGCAGGCAAAGCGAUCCACGUAAUCCGGCCAAAGCGCCGGGGAGCAUGGUGCGGCUUAGAAGUAAGUCCGUCCAGAAGACCAUUCUGAGAGGGUUAGUAGUGGGGCACUGAGGUGUAUGAGCGAACGCUCCGGGCGGCGAGUGUGGGGUCAAAGACCAGGUCAGCCGGAAGUU